GCGUUGGUAGUGCAACGGUUCAGCACGUUCUCCGGAUAAGGUGGAUUCUGGGUUCGAAUCCCAGCUGCUGCA